AAAUCAUGAUAUGGGCAAUUCCUUAAUAAGACUUUGUAUCUCUCCCACGCCUCAUAUAGUGACUCUCCAGCUUGUUGUUCAAAGAUCGCUAUGGCUUUUUUCAACUU